rnacentral:tRNA from 1 species
AGACGGUUAGCUCAGUCAGUUGAGUGUGGCGCUAACAAGGUCAAGGUUGCGGGUUCAAUUCCCGUUCGGUCCC